GACGAACGCUGGCGGCGUGCCUAAUACAUGCAAGUCGAGCGAGCGGAACCAACAGAUUUACUUCGGUAAUGACGUUGGGAAAGCGAGCGGCGGAUGGGUGAGUAACACGUGGGGAACCUGCCCCUAAGUCUGGGAUACCAUUUGGAAACAGGUGCUAAUACCGGAUAAUAAAGCAGAUCGCAUGAUCAGCUUUUGAAAGGCGGCGUAAGCUGUCGCUAAGGGAUGGCCCCGCGGUGCAUUAGCUAGUUGGUAAGGUAACGGCUUACCAAGGCGACGAUGCAUAGCCGAGUUGAGAGACUGAUCGGCCACAUUGGGACUGAGACACGGCCCAAACUCCUACGGGAGGCAGCAGUAGGGAAUCUUCCACAAUGGACGCAAGUCUGAUGGAGCAACGCCGCGUGAGUGAAGAAGGUUUUCGGAUCGUAAAGCUCUGUUGUUGGUGAAGAAGGAU
rnacentral:rRNA from 1 species